rnacentral:rRNA from 1 species
GCCUUGCCAGCCCGCUCAGAAACUUAAAGGAAUUGACGGGGCCCGGCACAAGCGGUGGAGUAUGUGGUUUAAUUCGAUGCAACGCGAAGAACCUUACCUGGUCUUGACAUCCCGGAGACCCUUAGGAAACUAGGGGGUGCUUCCAUCUGGAAGAAUCUGGAGACAGGUGCUGCAUGGCUGUCGUCAGCUCGUGUCGUGAGAUGUUGGGUUAAGUCCCGCAACGAGCGCAACCCUUGCCUUUAGUUGCCAGCAGUUCGGCUGGGCACUCUAAAGGGACUGCCGGUGUUAAACCGGAGGAAGGUGGGGAUGACGUCAAGUCCUCAUGGCCUUUAUGACCAGGGCUACACACGUACUACAAUGGCCGAUACAAAGGGCAGCGACACUGCGAGGUGAAGCCAAUCCCGUAAAAUCGGUCUCAGUCCGGAUUGGAGUCUGCAACUCGACUCCAUGAAGUUGGAAUCGCUAGUAAUCGUGGAUCAGCAUGCCACGGUGAAUACGUUCCCGGGCCUU